rnacentral:rRNA from 1 species
UACGUAGGGGGCAAGCGUUGUCCGGAUUUAUUGGGCGUAAAGAGCGUGUAGGCGGCUUGGUAGGUCCGCUGUGAAAACUCGAGGCUCAACCUCGAGAUGUCGGCGGAAACCACUUGGCUAGAGUCCGGAAGAGGAGAGUGGAAUUCCUGGUGUAGCGGUGAAAUGCGCAGAUAUCAGGAGGAACACCAAUUGCGAAGGCAGCUCGCUGGGACGUUACUGACGCUGAGACGCGAAAGCGUGGGGAGCAAACAGG